UCCCUGGUGACUCAGAUGGUAAAGCGCCUGCCUGCAAUGCAGGAGUCCCAGGUUUGAUCCCUGGGUUGGGAA
rnacentral:tRNA from 1 species